UAGUGAAUUGUGAUCACCAACCCACUGCCU
rnacentral:piRNA from 1 species